GGGCGUAAAGCGCGCGUAGGCGGUUAUUUAAGCCAGAUGUGAAAUCCCCGGCUCAACCUGGGAACGUGCAUUUGGAACUGGGUAACUAGAAUGCAGCAGAGGAUAGUGGAAUUUCAGGUGUAGCGGUGAAAUGCGUAGAGAUCUGAAGGAACAUCAGUGGCGAAGGCGACUGUCUGGGCUGACAUUGACGCUGAGGUGCGAAAGCGUGGGUAGCAAACAGGAUUAGAUACCCUGGUAGUCCACGCCGUAAACGAUGUCUACUAGCCGUUGGACAUCUUGCAUGUUUAGUGGCGCAGCUAACGCGAUAAGUUCUCCGCCUGGGGAGUACGGCCGCAAGGUUAAAACUCAAAUGAAUUGACGGGGGCCCGCACAAGCGGUGGAGCAUGUGGUUUAAUUCGACGCAACGCGAAGAACCUUACCUACACUUGACAUCCUCGGAACUUUCCAGAGAUAGAUUGGUGCCUUCGGGAACCGAGUGACAGGUGCUGCAUGGCU
rnacentral:rRNA from 1 species